AGUUGUGGUAGGGAUUUUCCUUUCUGGGCAUCGUUUUUUCCUUUUGCUACUUUUGUUUCUGUCCGGACUCUUGCGAUGUUCCUGGAAAUGAGUAAUCCUGUUCAAAAUAUCUAUGCUGAGACGGAUGCGAAGAAAGUCACAGCGAAAGCAAUCCCAGCACCUUGCUAUUUGAGGACGCUGCAUAGGGUGGCUCCAAAUACAGAGACUCAGUAUCAAGCUAUAAGGAGGCGACAUGAUUGGGAAGAAGCAGCAUAACAAAGAUUAGAUGUUCGUCACAAAAACAGAGUAGAAGGCGAAAGGUGGGAGGACCCAAAAUCCAAAGAUUGCCAUUGAGAGCUCCUACAAGCUCUUGAAUCGAGAAGGAUGAAAAUACCUAUGUUAGC